GAAAUUUCACAGCGAGGUUAAGGAUACCAGCCUUGGGAUCACUAUAUUGUUGAAAAGGCAAGGCACUGAUAAACUCAUCAAAGUGGCGCGGCAAAAGGUCUUCAAACUUAUCAUAUGGGGGCCAAUCCUUCAGCUUCAGCAUCUCAGGCCAAAAGUUACCAUAUCUUCUCCCUUCUGUAUAACCCUUGAAAAAUUGGCGGGUAUUAAUUUCCACCUCACAAAAAGCCAGGCAAUCAACGGCCUUCACUUCAGACAUCUUAGCACUUGUCUCUGGGUCCACAUUUUCGCAUAAUGCACGCCACAUGACCAUUGGUUCCCAGCUCAAAUGAGUUGUUACCUCGAGAGCACCACGAACAAUAACAGGUUCGCCUUUAACCCAGUGCUUUUGGAAGCAAAAGACCUCUUCAUCCUCUUGAAUGUCA
rnacentral:misc_RNA from 1 species